rnacentral:rRNA from 1 species
GAUGAACGCUGGCGGCGUGCUUAACACAUGCAAGUCGAACGGGAAACCUUUUAUUGAAGCUUCGGCAGAUUUAGCUGGUUUCUAGUGGCGGACGGGUGAGUAACGCGUGGGUAACCUGCCUUAUACAGGGGGAUAACAACCAGAAAUGGUUGCUAAUACCGCAUAAGCGCACAGGACCGCAUGGUCCGGUGUGAAAAACUCCGGUGGUAUAAGAUGGACCCGCGUUGGAUUAGCUAGUUGGCAGGGUAACGGCCUACCAAGGCGACGAUCCAUAGCCGGCCUGAGAGGGUGAACGGCCACAUUGGGACUGAGACACGGCCCAGAAUCCUACGGGAGGCAGCAGUGGGGAAUAUUGCACAAUGGGGGAAACUCUGAUGCAGCGACGCCGCGUGAAGGAAGAAGUAUCUCGGUAUGUAAACUUCUAUCAGCAGGGAAGAUAGUGACGGUACCUGACUAAGAAGGCCCGGCUAACUACGUG